rnacentral:rRNA from 1 species
CCUACGGGUGGCAGCAGUGGGGAAUAUUGGGCAAUGGGCGCAAGCCUGACCCAGCAACGCCGCGUGAGCGAUGAAGGUCUUCGGAUUGUAAAGCUCUGUCGCAGGGGACGAAGAAUGACGGUACCCUGUAUGAAAGCCUCGGCAAACUACGUGCCAGCAGCCGCGGUAAUACGUAGGGGGCUAGCGUUGUCCGGAAUUACUGGGCGUAAGGGGAGUGUAGACGGCUUGUCAAGUUAAGUGUGAAAGCCUGCUGCUUAACCUUAGAAUUGCACUUAAAACUGACUCGCUAGAGUGCAGGAGAGGUGAGUAGAAUUCCUAGUGUAGCGGUGGAAUGCGUAGAUAUUAGGAGGAACACC